ACCCUCAAUUUUAAUAAUUUACGCCAAUACACUUAAACUUUUGUUUUUUUGGUAGAAGUGUUGAACGAGAACACUGAACUUUAAUAAUUUACGCUACUACCCUUAAACUUGCACCUUUUACUUUAUAGUUCUCAAUACCAACCCCGAUUCUACAAACACCACAAUAUUUUAAUCAUUGCUAUAAUUAAGUUCAGUUUGUUUGGCCAUGCGUAGUAUUCCAUCCUUUCAUCACACACUGGGUGUUUUCGUCUGGUUCAGCCGAUUUUGAUGAAACAGGAAACGAAAAAUUAAACCGGUUGGGUUGGGUGAUCGGCCGAACUGGCCAGUUUUGGCAGUUUAAACUGUUCUUAACUUUUUUAUUUUUAAUAUUCAAAAUCGUUAAUUUAUAUUAGAACUUCUAAAAUGAUAUAAGGUGGUUCAUGAAUAUAAUCGAUUGUAUCGUGUGAAAGUGAAAGAAAAAUAAAUAAUAGAAGUUAAAAGCCUGUUUUCAAGGUCCAACCCGCCAGCCAAACUGUUCAACCACCUAAACCGAACUGUAUAGUUUUCAAACUAGCCGAUUCGCUUCUGUUUGGGUGGUUCGGCCAGUUUCAACGAUUGAUGAACGCCCAUAAUGGUUACUUUUGUAUUGGUUUUUAUCAUAUUAUCUGAUAUGAGACUGUUGUACUGUUUGAAACAGCAAAGAGACUCCCUCGAGCUCAACCUACUCAGAACCCAGCCGGUAUGGUUCUCGUGGACAGACCUGCUGACGGAGCCCGUGCUGGAUCAUCCGAAUUUGAUGUUCGACAGCUGGUGAAAAGCCCAAGCAUUGAUGCUGGUAGAUGUGGAGUUGAUCAAAGAAUUGCACAUUGUAGCAUGUUUAAAACUGAGAAUUAACUAACACUUACUAUUUCAAGAGUUUUCUUUACAUAAUCCAUUAAUGCUAUGUAAUAUCCAUAAAAAUUUAGAGUCCAACCUGUGUUUUUAUUAAUACUAAUAUACUAUGCUUUCCCUUGUCAAUAAUUAUUGCUCCUCCCUUGUCAAUGCUUCUUCUUCAACUUCACAAUCUCUUCCUGAGUCCGUUCUUCUUUGAAACCAUAUCCCCAUCAUCAUCUCU